rnacentral:rRNA from 1 species
GAUGAACGCUGGCGGCGUGCCUAACACAUGCAAGUCGAACGGAGUCCAGCCUUUAAGACCUUCGGGUCAAAGAGGGGAAGACUGAGUGGCGGACGGGUGAGUAACACGUGGGCAACCUGGCUCAUAGAGGGGGAUAACAGAGAGAAAUUUCUGCUAAUACCGCAUAAGCACACCCUGCCGCAUGGCAGAGGGUGAAAAGAGAAUCGCUAUGAUAUGGACGCGCGUCUGAUUAGCCAGUUGGCAGGGUAAGAGCCUACCAAAGCGACGAUCAGUAGCCGAUCUGAGAGGAUGAACGGCGACAUUGGGACUGAGACACGGCCCGAACUCCUACGGGAGGCAGCAGUGGGGGAUAGUGCACAAUGGGGGGAACGCUGAUGCAGCGACGCCGCGUGAGUGAAGAAGUAUUUCGGUAUGUAAAGCGCUAUCAGCAGGGAAGAUAAUGACAGUACCUGAAUAAGAAGCCCCGGCUAACUACGUG